UACGGAGGGUGCAAGCGUUAUCCGGAUUUACUGGGUUUAAAGGGUGCGUAGGUGGGUCCGUAAGUCAGUGGUGAAAUCUCCGGGCUUAACCCGGAAACUGCCAUUGAUACUAUAGGUCUUGAAUAUCCUGGAGGUGAGCGGAAUAUGUCAUGUAGCGGUGAAAUGCUUAGAUAUGACAUAGAACACCAAUUGCGAAGGCAGCUCACUACGGGAUUAUUGACACUGAGGCACGAAAGCGUGGGGAUCAAACAGG
rnacentral:rRNA from 1 species